rnacentral:rRNA from 1 species
AUUGAACGCUGGCGGCAGGCCUAACACAUGCAAGUCGAACGGUAACAGGAAACAGCUUGCUGUUUCGCUGACGAGUGGCGGACGGGUGAGUAAUGUCUGGGAAACUGCCUGAUGGAGGGGGAUAACUACUGGAAACGGUAGCUAAUACCGCAUAACGUCGCAAGACCAAAGAGGGGGACCUUCGGGCCUCUUGCCAUCGGAUGUGCCCAGAUGGGAUUAGCUAGGAGGUGGGGUAACGGCUCACCUGGGCGACGAUCCCUAGCUGGUCUGAGAGGAUGACCAGCCACACUGGAACUGAGACACGGUCCAGACUCCUACGGGAGGCAGCAGUGGGGAAUAUUGCACAAUGGGCGCAAGCCUGAUGCAGCCAUGCCGCGUGUAUGAAGAAGGCCUUCGGGUUGUAAAGUACUUUCAGCGGGGAGGAAGGGAGUAAAGUUAAUACCUUUGCUCAUUGACAUUACCCGCAGAAGAAGCACCGGCUAACUCCGUGCCAGCCGCCGCCGUAA